AUGACAUACUCCACCGAUCAAUGUAUGCACAACAGUGUUAAAAGAGCUUAAAUUUGCAAAAGGAGCAAAAAACAGCAAAAACCAACAUAAAUGUAAAGAAGGAGGAAUUGCCAUAACUCGCCAAGCCCCGAUUCACAUCCACACCACAAAAUAGCAAGAACAGAAGACUUGACACGGGGCCGUGUCCACUAGACAUGGGCCGUGUCCGAAGAUGGAUGCUGUGAAGAGAAAACGACAACUGCUAAGGAUAACACCAAGGUCAACCAAACCUCCACCAUAGACGACCGUGAAAACGAAAACGAUAGUCGUCCCUGUUUUGAUUCAGCAGUGACGGUCCCCCUUACCGAGUGUGAAUCUCACACCAACAGCAUGGACAGGAGCGAAUCGACUCACACCUUCUUUAACGAGAGCCCGGAAAAGCUAGGUGGAAGCUUGGGAAUGAAGCGGGUCAAACGAAUCAAGUAUGAAGAAAAGCAUAAUCAUGAUGCAAGGUGAAUGUUGAGAGUCCCGGAUGAAGAUCAAGCGUCGAACAAGAACCGAACACACGUUAAAUAAAGCUUCGG
rnacentral:lncRNA from 1 species